rnacentral:lncRNA from 1 species
AGAGCGUUCCAAUCUCCACAUUCCCUCCCCUGGCUUGAGAACCAUGUAGCCAGAAAAGCUUAUCUUUGAAAUGAACCACAGAUCGAUCAUAUAUUUUUUGGAGUACUUUGCAGCUUGGAAGGGAUAUUUUCUUCUUUUUCCCAAGGCUGACUUGGUCAAAGCAAAUAUUGUUACCGGACCCCAAGCUCAAAGAGGCUCACUUCUCAGUUUCACAGAAAAAAUUCAACUGGACCUGACUUCUGGCUGAGUGACUUCUCAGACACAUCAUCGGACCUUAAGCUAGUUAUAGUGAGUAUGUCUCUGAGCUUCAGGUUCCUCCGUGGAAAGGAAAACAGUGAGUCGUGUUAAAGACCAGCAGCAUGGAACACCAGAAAGUUUUCACUAUAUGCUAGUUCUUAAGGAUUCCUCCCUGCACACCUGUGCAAUGCAGAUACACCCUGUUGUGUCCUGGCCCCACUCACCAUUGUGGCUGGCGUAGCCCCACUCCUUAGCCAUGGUCACCUUUCGUGUUUCUCAGCGCUGGACAGCUCCUGCUCUUUCUUGCUCCUGUUGUCCGGCAAGGUCUCCAAGAGUUCGCUCUUUUAUAUAGAUCUCCUGCAGUGUGCAUGACCUUAUUAGGUCAGCGGUGAGGCAGGGGGCUAAACUGGAUUGGGGUGGUACUCAGAAGGCCGGGGGCGGGAGAAGCCAAUGAAUUACAAGAGCUGGACAGCUGUCCGGGUGAGAGGGUAGCAGGAGGGGGCAGGGAGGAGGCGCGGAGGGGGAACGGAGGGGGACAGAGCCCCCCCUUUCUUGGCUCUGCAAGAGCCCUGGCUCCUUCCUUUGUUCACUUUGCAGGCUACCAAGCAGCUGAGCUUUCUAAGAUCUCCCGCUUUGGCUGGUUCCCUCCAGUUUUCCUGCACUUGGGGGUCUGGAGGAGCAGCCGGCUCAUGCUGCAGUCUGGUGUUACUUAGCAACUAAAAGUUGCACCCGCGGCUCUUGCAGCCUCUCUCAGAAGACUUUUAACUCAGAAUGGAGGACCCGCUGCAGUCUCCGGAUGCUGGGGUUCCUUUCCCUGCAGGAAUCCGGUUAGGACGGAAAGAACUCCUCUGAUCCUCUGACUAGUGCGUGAUUCUCCUACGGAAAACCUGUAAAAUUCUGGGAAUAGAGAUGAGGAGGAGUCUGGGAGUGCCCGCUUUCCAGUCCCGGUAUCCUUAAGGGAUGAGUCUGUAAGGUAGACUGCUUAGGCGUCACACCAGUCUAGCUUAGUUUGUCUAGUACGACUCAGGAGCACAGCACUGGAUCCCUGGCCAGGGAGGGACUCUGCACCCUAGCCUCAGUCAGCAGCAGUCUGGGACAGAGCCACAGAGCUUUGCUCUGUUCAUCUCAGGGCACCAAGGAUACCCGAAGUUGAAAGGGUACAGUCAAAAAUGAGUACACUACAUAAAAUUUUCACUUUCUAAGACAUAAUUAGAGACAA